GAUGAAGAACGUAGCGAAAUGCGAUAAGUAGUGUGAAUUGCAGAAUUCAGUGAAUCAUCGAAUCUUUGAACGCACAUUGCGCCCCUUGGUAUCCCGAGGGGCAUGCCUGUUCGAGCGUCAUUUCACCACUCAAGCCUGGCUUGGUGUUGGGCGACGUCCCUUUGGGGACGCGCCUCGAAACGCUCGGCGGCGUGGCACCGGCUUUAAGCGUAGCAGAAUCUUUCGCUUUGGAAGUCGGGGCCCCGUCUGCCGGAAGACCUACUCGCAAGGUUGACCUCGGAUCAGGCAGGGAUACCCGCUGAACUUAAGCAUAUCAAUAAGCGGAGGA
rnacentral:misc_RNA from 1 species